rnacentral:rRNA from 1 species
UACGAAGGGAGCUAGCGUUGUUCGGAAUCACUGGGCGUAAAGCGCACGUAGGCGGACUCUUAAGUCAGGGGUGAAAUCCUGGAGCUCAACUCCAGAACUGCCUUUGAUACUGGGAGUCUUGAGUUCGGGAGAGGUGAGUGGAACUGCGAGUGUAGAGGUGAAAUUCGUAGAUAUUAGGAAGAACACCAGUGGCGAAGGCGGCUCACUGGCCCGGUACUGACGCUGAGGCGCGAAAGCGUGGGGAGCAAACAGG